rnacentral:rRNA from 1 species
ACGGGAGGCAGCAGUGGGGAAUAUUGGACAAUGGGGGAGAGCCUGAUCCAGCGACGCAGCGUGAGUGAAGAAGUAUUUCGGUACGUAAAGCUCUAUCAGCAGGGAAGAAAAUGACGGUACCUGACUAAGAAGCCCCGGCUAACUACGUGCCAGCAGCCGCGGUAAUACGUAGGGGGCAAGCGUUACCCGGAUUUACUGGGUGUAAAGGGAGCGUAGACGGUAUGGCAAGUCUGAAGUGAAGGACCGCGGCUUAACUGCGGGACUGCUUUUGAAACUGUCAGACUAGAGUGUCGGAGAGGUGAGUGGAAUUCCCAGUGUAGCGGUGAAAUGCGUAGAUAUUGGGAGGAACACCGGAGGCGAAGGCGGCUCACUGGACGAUAACUGACGUUGAGGCUCGGAAGCGUGGGGAGCAAACAGGAUUAGAUACCCUGGUA